CCUACGGGGAGCUGCAGUCGAGAAUCAUUCACAAUGGGGGAAACCCUGAUGGUGCGACGCCGCGUGGGGGAAUGAAGGUCUUCGGAUUGUAAACCCCUGUCAUGUGGGAGCAAAUUAAAAAGAUAGUACCACAAGAGGAAGAGACGGCUAACUCUGUGCCAGCAGCCGCGGUAAUACAGAGGUCUCAAGCGUUGUUCGGAAUCACUGGGCGUAAAGCGUGCGUAGGCUGUUUCGUAAGUCGUGUGUGAAAGGCGCGGACUCAACCCGCGGACGGCACAUGAUACUGCGAGACUAGAGUAAUGGAGGGGGAACCGGAAUUCUCGGUGUAGCAGUGAAAUGCGUAGAUAUCGAGAGGAACACUCGUGGCGAAGGCGGGUUCCUGGACAUUAACUGACGCUGAGGCACGAAGGCCAGGGGAGCGAAAGGGAUUAGAUACCCCUGGUAGUC
rnacentral:rRNA from 1 species